rnacentral:misc_RNA from 1 species
AUUUUUUUUUGCAAGGAUGUUUAUUUUGCAAAAGCAAAUUGUGCUAAAACGAUUGGUGUUUUAUUUUUAUUUGAAUUACAAUGAUGGUGUUUUAUUUUUAUUUGCAAGGUAUUUUAUUUUAUUUUUGUUUGUAGUGGUAUUUCUUCAUAAUUGAAUUCAGUUUUGUUUCAUUUUGAGUACUUUCUUGGUUAGCAAAACCACAGUAGUCUAGUACUUUGAUUGUAAAGCACUUGUUCAAAUACUAUAUAUUUGGUAUUUAUAAAUUUGUAAUCAGAGAUCAAUUUAGAAAUAAUAUUGGAAGUUGGAGCAUAUGUGGUGCAUGAUGUGGUAGUUCACCUGACUUUUGUUCUGUAAACUGGCUACUUUAUCAUCUAGUCAUACUGAAUGAUUUGAUUGUGUUAGAAUCCUGUGAUUAUGAUGUGUUA